rnacentral:rRNA from 1 species
AUUGAACGCUGGCGGCAUGCUUUACACAUGCAAGUCGAACGGCAGCGCGGGCUUCGGCCUGGCGGCGAGUGGCGAACGGGUGAGUAAUGCAUCGGAACGUGCCCAGUAGUGGGGGAUAGCCCGGCGAAAGCCGGAUUAAUACCGCAUACGACCUGAGGGUGAAAGCGGGGGGCCGAAAGGCCUCGCGCUAUUGGAGCGGCCGAUGUCGGAUUAGCUAGUUGGUGGGGUAAAGGCUUACCAAGGCGACGAUCCGUAGCUGGUCUGAGAGGACGACCAGCCACACUGGGACUGAGACACGGCCCAGACUCCUACGGGAGGCAGCAGUGGGGAAUUUUGGACAAUGGGGGCAACCCUGAUCCAGCCAUGCCGCGUGCGGGAAGAAGGCCUUCGGGUUGUAAACCGCUUUUGUUCGGGAAGAAAUCCUCUGGGCUAAUACCCCGGGGGGAUGACGGCACCGGAAGAAUAAGCACCGGCUAACUACGUG